rnacentral:tRNA from 1 species
GGGGGAUUAGCUCAGCUUGGUUAGAGCGUCUGCUUGACAUGCAGAAGGUCACUGGUUCGAGUCCAGUAUCUCCCACCA